AUUGAACGCUGGCGGCAGGCCUAACACAUGCAAGUCGAGCGGUAGAGAGGAGCUUGCUUCUCUUGAGAGCGGCGGACGGGUGAGUAAUGCCUAGGAAUCUGCCUGGUAGUGGGGGAUAACGUUCGGAAACGGACGCUAAUACCGCAUACGUCCUACGGGAGCAAGUGGGGGAUCUUCGGACCUCACGCUAUCAGAUGAGCCUAGGUCGGAUUAGCUAGUUGGUGAGGUAAAGGCUCACCAAGGCGACGAUCCGUAACUGGUCUGAGAGGAUGAUCAGUCACACUGGAACUGAGACACGGUCCAGACUUCUACGGGAGGCAGCAGUGGGGAAUAUUGGACAAUGGGCGCAAGCCUGAUCCAGCCAUGCCGCGUGUGUGAAGAAGGUCUUCGGAUUGUAAAGCACUUUAAGUUGGGAGGAAGGUCAGUAGCUUAAUACGUUGCUGAUUUGACGUUACCGACAGAAUAAGCACCGGCUAACUCUGUGCCAGCCGCCGCAGUAACAC
rnacentral:rRNA from 1 species